rnacentral:rRNA from 1 species
UACGUAGGUGGCGAGCGUUGUCCGGAUUUACUGGGCGUAAAGGGCGCGUAGGCGGCCUGUUAAGUCGAACGUGAAAUCCCCGGGCUCAACCCGGGAACUGCGUCCGAUACUGGUAGGCUUGAAUCCGGGAGAGGGAUGCGGAAUUCCAGGUGUAGCGGUGAAAUGCGUAGAUAUCUGGAGGAACACCGGUGGCGAAGGCGGCAUCCUGGACCGGCAUUGACGCUGAGACGCGAAAGCGUGGGGAGCAAACAGG